UCUUAUAAAUGAGCAAAGAAAGUGGUUUCUUUAGAUAGUAUCUACUCCUAGUGAAGAUGCUGUGAU
rnacentral:pre_miRNA from 1 species